rnacentral:ncRNA from 19 species
GCACAUUAUCAAGAGAUGGGUUAGAGAGUUAGCUCAAAGAUCCCACACCAACCUGGUUUUAAAAUUAAGGUGGUCCCGCUAACAACGAUAAGAAGUAUAAAUAAUUACAACAUACUUC